GCUCGUGUGGCGUAAUGGCAACGCGUCUGACUUCUAAUCAGAAGAUUGUGGGUUCGACCCCCGCCAUGAGCU
rfam:Zygosaccharomyces rouxii strain CBS732 chromosome B complete sequence.